rnacentral:rRNA from 1 species
CUAGCCGUAAACGGUGUGCACUUGGUGUGGGAGGAUUUAUCCCCUUCCGUGCCGUAGCUAACGCGUUAAGUGCACCGCCUGGGGAGUACGGCCGCAAGGCUAAAACUCAAAGAAAUUGACGGGGGCCCGCACAAGCGGUGGAGCAUGUGGCUUAAUUCGAUGCAACGCGAAGAACCUUACCAAGGCUUGACAUGCAAUUGCACGACCAAUGAAAGUUGGUCUCCUUCGAGGGUAUUGCACAGGUGC